rnacentral:rRNA from 1 species
ACGGCGUUCUCGCCGGAUGUAGGAACCGACCCGGGGACCGCCGGGGCAACCCGGCGCCCCCGAGACGGGGCGAACCACGGUGAAAUGACGGAUCGUCGGCCCCGCGCCGGCGACUCGCCGAAUGAGUUUCUGACCUAUCAACUCGAGACGGCGGGGUAGAGGCCCGCCGCGGUAACGACGGGUAACGGGGAAUCAGGGUUCGAUUCCGGAGAGGGAGCCCGAGAAACGGCUACCACUUCCAAGGAAGGCAGCAGGCGCGCAACUUACCCUAAUCUCGAUUCGAGGAGGUAGUGACAAGAAAUACCGAUGCGGGACCCUACGGGUGCCGCGUUCGGAAUGAGUACGAUUCGAACCACCUAACGAGGAACGAUCGGAGGGCAAGUCUGGUGCCAGCAGCCGCGGUAAUUCCAGCUCCAAUAGCGUACGUUAAAGUUGCUGCAGUUAAAAAGCUCGUAGUU